AGAAAAUUGAGUAGUGGGUAGUCCGGGAUGAAAGAUAGAAGCCACUUUGGUUGGCCAUUAGGAACGCCUGAUCUUAGCCAAAUAUGGAUCUGGGAGAGAUAGGUCUCCAGUGUGAUCUUGCCAAGCCACGCAAAGAGAGUCAAGGAAAAGUUGCGUAACUGCUGUGUACAAUUUCUCAGGCAAAUGUAAACAGUGAUGGGG
rnacentral:misc_RNA from 1 species